ACUUGAAGUCAAAACAUUUUCUCCAAGGCCUUGCAGAAACUUGUUCAACUGGUUUUUAUGAUGAAAAAUAUCUGUUAAGUAGACUAGUUUCUGCAGCCAUUCCUCAUCUUCAAAGCACUCAGCAAAAUGUGGCCAACUAUUUUCUUGGAAGUACUCCUGCAAUUCUACUUUCAGCUCAAACACCUUGUUGUGAACUCUUCUUCUGAUUGGCUGUCCAGACAAACUACAGAUUCAAAAAUACUAACAAUUGCUCAAUGUGCAUGCAUCAUAUUGUAACCUCAAAAUGCAAAGCCUUACCAGUCUACUUCAUCUUCGGCAAGGAUGUGGCAAUUUAAAUGAGCUACGUACACAAGGUACUGCAGGAACUCAGCAAUUCUGGCAGCAUCUAUGGAAGGGAAUGAACAGUUAAUGUUUUGAACAAAGACUCAAACCAGUAUACAUGCAAAUUAAAUGAACAUGUACUCAGUAAUUUACUUAACAAGUAAGUUAGUAUUUACACAACUAUUUUAUGUCUUACUUGUAAACACCUAU